UACGCAGUUUGUUGAACCAUUGAAAACAUUAGAAGUACGGAUGUGUUUAGAUUACAUUUCUAUCAGAAAUUUGCAAUUUUUUUUGAGUGUUGCAUACGGAAAUAGAAACUGACGACAGUCGGUAAAUAUUUAUGAGUAUAAAUAUGAAGUAGAACUUAUAUCUGCAUUACAAGUCACGUCGUUGGGAUGAAUAUUCAUAUUUUCACUGGAAGUAUUGGGUGAACUUCGUUGACAAUCAGAGAAUUGUAACUUCAAACUGCGUUGACUUAUUAACGAGAAAUAUGCCAGGACUUGGUGUCACUAGGAUUUCUCGAUGUAAUCAGUUGGGUUAAUCCUUGAAUAAAUCUGCAUUCUUAUACCGUACAGAUUUAAUGAAGUUUCCGAAGGUAAUGAAGACGCCAUUACAUUUGAGUGCUUCAUUUGCAUAUCUGAAGUUAAGCUUGAGAGAAUCUGCAAUAUCGAUGGUGGAAUUCGUCGAGCUUUUAAUUUGUGCAUUGCAGUAAAGGUGAUCUAUUUUGCAGCAAAUAUUGAACAACAUUUUACGAUGAGAAGACAUACAUCAACCGAUAUAGAUCCAUCACAUCUGCCAAGUUGUACUAUUGUUGUACUGCACUGUGUCAACUCUGUGCAUUCUACAAUGUAGAGUUUGUGACCAUCAUGAAAGUGCAAGCGCGUGCUGCACUAACUUUUGAAACUGACACGUGGAAAUCGUGAAUACGAUUUUCAACACCCAGUGGAAUUAUGCAGGAAAUUGCAAGAACACUCCCUGCAUUUCAAUCAUACUGAUAUUGGACUUAUCAAGACAAAUUGUGCCUGACAAAUUGAGUAUGGGAAUUAUUGUGAAAAUAGAACUGUUCAAUAGAAAUGAUGGAUUGAAGUUUUGAUUUGUGGAGAUACCAAUCUACGGGAAAUUACAGUUAUUGAUGAAUUUUGGCCAAUGAGAAAUUAUAACGCUAUGUAUGAUGAAUUACUCAAUCACUCCAAACAAUUCAAGAAAAUCAGGGAAAAUCGAGUAAAUGUAUUCCCCGAUUUUCAAUAAAUAGGAUCUUU